GACGAACGCUGGCGGCGUGCUUAACACAUGCAAGUCGAACGGAAAGGCCCUGCUUUUGUGGGGUGCUCGAGUGGCGAACGGGUGAGUAACACGUGAGUAACCUGCCCUUGACUUUGGGAUAACUUCAGGAAACUGGGGCUAAUACCGGAUAGGAGCUCCUGCUGCAUGGUGGGGGUUGGAAAGUUUCGGCGGUUGGGGAUGGACUCGCGGCUUAUCAGCUUGUUGGUGGGGUAGUGGCUUACCAAGGCUUUGACGGGUAGCCGGCCUGAGAGGGUGACCGGCCACAUUGGGACUGAGGUACGGCCCAGACUCCUACGGGAGGCAGCAGUGGGGAAUAUUGCACAAUGGGCGGAAGCCUGAUGCAGCAACGCCGCGUGCGGGAUGAAGGCCUUCGGGUUGUAAACCGCUUUCGCCUGUGACGAAGCGUGAGUGACGGUAAUGGGUAAAGAAGCACCGGCUAACUACGUG
rnacentral:rRNA from 1 species